rnacentral:rRNA from 1 species
CCUACGGGUGGCAGCAGUGGGGAAUAUUGCGCAAUGGGGGGAACCCUGACGCAGCAACGCCGCGUGAGUGAAGAAGGCCUUCGGGUUGUAAAGCUCUUUAAUCAGGGACGAAGGAUGACGGUACCAGAAGAAUAAGCUCCGGCUAACUCCGUGCCAGCAGCAGCGGUAAUACGUAGGGGGCAAGCGUUGUCCGGAUUUACGGGGAGGGAAGGGCGUGGAGGCGGGCCUGCAAGUCAGAAGUGAAAUCUGGGGGCUUAACCCCCGAACUGCCUUUGAACCUGGGAGUCUUGAGUGAUGGAGAGGCAGGUAGAAUUCCCAGUGUAGCGGUGAAAUGCGUAGAUAUCUGGAGGAAUACCAGUGGCGAAGGCGGCCCGCUGGACAAUAACUGACGCUGAGGUGCGAAAGCGUGGGGAGCAAACAGGAUUAGAUACCCCUGUAGUC